UACGUAGGGUGCGAGCGUUAAUCGGAAUUACUGGGCGUAAAGCGUGCGUAGGCGGUUUCAUAAGCUUGAUGUGAAAGCCCCCGGGCUCAACCUGGGAAUGGCAUUGAGGACUGUGGAGCUAGAGUGCGGCAGAGGGAGGUGGAAUUCCACGUGUAGCAGUGAAAUGCGUAGAGAUGUGGAGGAACACCGAUGGCGAAGGCAGCCUCCUGGGCCGACACUGACGCUGAGGGCACGAAAGCGUGGGGAGCAAACAGGG
rnacentral:rRNA from 1 species